CUGCCAGCCGCCGUCGAGGGGGGCAUGGCUUGAACACUGGGAUAGUUACAGUCAUAGUUGGCAGUGGAGGCUGCACCACUGUAGUUGGUAUAGUUUGCAUAAGUGCCGUAAGCGUAAGGGCUGAGGUGCAUGUUAUACGGUGAGUGAUAAGAUGAAGACUCUCCCAGACACGGCUUCCCGUCUCGAACGAGAACUGGUACUGCGAUUCUUCUGGGAGGCGGGAGGCCAACCAUCUCCAGCGAUUUAUCCUGGCGUUGCCUUUUACAUUUGUAUCUGCGAUUUUGGAACCAGAUUUUGACCUGGGUGGAGCCAUCACUGGAUUAGGUUGCAGAUUGGUAAUUAACUCUAGCAAUCAACAAUCCUUGGUACGUUCUUUAAUUGACACAAAACAAAGGGAGGUCAUCAGUUCCUCUGGGCCCAGGCUCAAACCAAUCCGAGAAUCUCCAUGAAGCCGUUUUAUGGAAGCCUAAAUCUGAAACUUCGGAAAUGAUCGGGACUGGACGAGUUUACUUGAACCAACACCUUUUACGUUCCUGGACGCUGAUGCUAACGACAGGAGCAGCCUCGAGCCGCUUCCCCGGAUGUAUCUACCUUUUACAAAACAUCAAGUCUUUUGAGGGAUUUGCUACAUCUCUGAGGAUCAAGAGGACAAUAAUGGCUGAAGAAAUAGCGAGUGAAGUCCCCAGAGCUGAGCCACCAACUAUUCCAACUUCGAAUUUUCUUGUAAACCUAUGCAGAAUACUCUUUGUUAGAACAUUCGUGAGUUGGAACACUUUGCACAUAAUUGUCUCCAGUCAUUAAAAACAGAACAAGUCUCGUUUUAUGGGACGAAUCCGUGACUAUUAAUUGUCCUAAAGUAACUCCAGACAAUUUUAAAAAAUUAUAUCAGUUUAUGUUUGUCUUAGUGAACUAUACUUGGUUGACAGAAACGGGGAGAUUAUUCGCAUUAUCAGAAACUGCUCGCUCCAGAUGCUUUCUUACUGAGAACGUAUCACGGUAAACGGCAAAGGGCCAGUACCGUGAAAGGAAUUGAAGCAAAAUUACAUUUAUAGUUAAAGGAUUCUAAAUUGAUAUCCGUUGCGUAUAUGAAACUCUAUUUUCAAGCACUUUAUUUUAAAUAAUUGAUUUUACCGAUUUAUGGAACAGCCAAGUAAAAAAAAGGACGGUAGAAUAUUUAAAAUAAUAACUCCGGAUGUUGCAGCAAUUAAACAUGACUGGAUUGUUAAAAGAUGAAAUAUUAACGAAUCGAAGUUGGAUUGGGAUGCAAGGCAAUUAUACUAAUACAGCCCGAACGCCUUUACUAGCUUCCACUUGUAAUGAUUGAAAACAUGUGCCGGACUGGCACUAAAUAGUGAAGGGGUUAAAAUCUUCGCAUAGUGAUUUAAAUCGAUUAAGAAUAACUGUGCCCGAAAGUGUAUAAGCUUGAAGUAAACUCAUUUUCAGGAUCUGUUUUCCUAUAAAUAAAACUCGUUACAGAAAAAAAAAUUCUUUCUGCGCCAAUAUUUUAAAUUACAGCAUGGCGAUGAAACAACACGCGAGUGGUUUUCAGGACAAAUUUAAUUACAGUUUCGGAAUUAAUCUCGGAAUUGCACUGACGCACAUUGCAGAGACGGUUGGUAUGAGUCUGCACCUGACUGACGGGUUACACUUGUCCAAAGCAUCAAGAAGCUGUAACCUUCAAAGCCCAAGGAAAGCUUUUGAGCGUUCGGUUCUCUGGAGUUGUUUUGUAGACGGUGGACGAUACGUAAGCUUUUCUUAACUAUUUGGAGCUUGAAAUUUAUAGGUCUUUUACACCAUUUGCUGCAAUGGAAAAGAGAUGACGAACGUUUAGUGAUGAUGCUAACAGACGCAAAAUAAAAUCCUUACCUUUCACGAGAUAUCUGGAGUCAAUCAGCUUACUAGCUUCAUUGUUUAUGCAGUUCCAUUACACUUAACAGAGUCCGACCUAGUUGUGUCCAUAUACCCGAUCAGGAUGUUGGGUCAAACGCGUAGGAAGAUUAGUAUUGAAGAAAGAUGAAUAUACUCCCAGCAGAUGUCUGAAUACAGUUAGAUUUGACUGAUUAGUAGAUUAAUGUCGGGUUAUCACAUCGGUGCAUGCGCGUGGGUCGGAAAAAAAUUAAAAUGUAUGACUUUUUUCCCCUAUCAUUGUGAUUCUAUGUUUAUGAAUCAGAUAUAACAAUAUAAUACUCAAACAUUAGAUAAAAAUCACAAUGUGACUUUCGUAAUUCAGGUAAAUAAAUCACUAUGAAAGAGUCAGAAAUGUAACAACGGAACACAAUGCUUUGUGAUUGAUCUACUAACAAUUGGCUUUAUCCAGAUCUGUGACAAUUAGUGCAUGUAAUAAUGAUCAUUUGUGCAAACUUUAGAAAAAAAUCUGAACUUUCUGCUUCUUUCCUUGUAUGACUCAUUAUUUUGGUGGAUAUCUUGUUGGAAGUAUGUGGGUAUAUAACCAUAUGCUUGUGUGUAUGCUGUCAAAUACAAAUCCGAGCGAUUGCUGUUACAGUGAGCUUUAUUUAUACUUGUUACAGACAUAUGUAGAAUUUUCUCUACGUGAUCGCUUUCACCAAGUAACUUGCUUUGAGAAGGUUUUUAUUUAUGUCUGGGUUUCUGUCAUCAUAACUUUAUGAUUUUUUCCCCCUUUAACUUGAUGAUAAUGUUGUGUUCAUUAUUGUUGUAGUCAUUAUGGAAUCCCGGGAGUAGAAAUCAAACUGUGAGAUGGAAUUGCAUAAAAUGGUGUUUCUUUCACUUGCUGCAAAUAGCUAAGGCUAUUUCUUCAAAAAUAGAGCUUACGUUGGUUAGUAAAGCUUGAAAAUGAUUUAUUGGCAUGAUGCAACUGUGGAAAUAUAGAAAUGCAGCCAUGUGUUGUGUGAUUUCAUGAACAAAGCUAAUCUAAACGUAUUCUACAACAGAUACUCACUUUGGAUACCAACCUCUCCUGCUUAUUCGAAAUUGGUUACCAACCCAUCUUCGAAUGGAAAUUGUUAUGGUUUCUUAUUUACUCUUGUCAAAUGCCUCUGUUUCUAAACAGUAAUAGUUCUCCCUGAAAGCUU